rnacentral:rRNA from 1 species
UACGGAGGAUCCAAGCGUCAUCCGGAAUCAUUGGGUUUAAAGGGUCCGUAGGCGGUCUUAUAAGUCAGUGGUGUAAGCCCAUCGCUUAACGAUGGAACGGCCAUUGAUACUGUAGGACUUGAAUUAUUGGGAAGUAACUAGAAUAUGUAGUGUAGCGGUGAAAUGCUUAGAUAUACAUGGAAUACCAAUUGCGAAGGCAGGUUACUAUCAAUAUAUUGACGCUGAUGGACGAAAGCGUGGGGAGCGAACAGG